UUUUUUGCAAUGAGAUAGUAAGUACAAGCAAAGAAACCUUUAACAGAGAGCUUUGGUAGCUGAGAAGAAGCAAGGUGGAAAGUUUGGAAAAUGGCUAUUGAGCAUUUCAUCCCGAGCAAAUUUGUGAGGCGGUGACGGGCGCAACCGUUAGAUUGCUAGAGUAUGUUUGUACUUGAAGAGGAGCUAUAUGUGAGUGUAGCUCAAACAUGAGGUGGUAACACGCUAAAAAAGGCGUCCUCAAG
rnacentral:ncRNA from 1 species